rnacentral:rRNA from 1 species
GAUGAACGCUGGCGGCGUGCCUAAUACAUGCAAGUCGAGCGAACGGACGAGAAGCUUGCUUCUCUGAUGUUAGCGGCGGACGGGUGAGUAACACGUGGAUAACCUACCUAUAAGACUGGGAUAACUUCGGGAAACCGUAGCUAAUACCGGAUAAUAUUUUGAACCGCAUGGUUCAAAAGUGAAAGACGGUCUUGCUGUCACUUAUAGAUGGAUCCGCGCUGCAUUAGCUAGUUGGUAAGGUAACGGCUUACCAAGGCAACGAUGCAUAGCCGACCUGAGAGGGUGGUCGGCCACCCUGGAACUGGGACACGGUCCAGGAUCCUACGGGAGGCAGCAGUAGGGAAUCUUUCGCAAUGGGCGAAAGCCUUACGGAGCAACGCCGCGUGAGUGAUGAAAGUCUUCGGAUCGUAAAACUCUGUUAUUAGGGAAGAACAUAUGUGUAAGUAACUGUGCACAUCUUGACGGUACCUAAUCAGAAAGCCACGGCUAACUACGUG